AACGAACGCUGGCGGCAUGCCUAACACAUGCAAGUCGAACGAGACCUUCGGGUCUAGUGGCGCACGGGUGCGUAACGCGUGAGAACCUGCCCUUAGGGUCGGAAUAACUCCCCGAAAGGGGUGCUAACACCGGAUAAUGUCUUCGGACCAAAGAUUUUUUGCCUUUGGAUGGGCACGCGUUGGAUUAGCUAGUUGGUAGGGUAAAAGCCUACCAAGGCGACGAUCCAUAGCUGGUCUGGGAGGAUGAUCAGCCACACUGGGACUGAGACACGGCCCAGACUCCUACGGGAGGCAGCAGUGGGGAAUAUUGGACAAUGGGCGAAAGCCUGAUCCAGCAAUGCCGCGUGAGUGAUGAAGGCCUUAGGGUUGUAAAGCUCUUUUACCCGGGAUGAUAAUGACAGUACCGGGAGAAUAAGCUCCGGCUAACUCCGUG
rnacentral:rRNA from 1 species